AUAGUAACUGAUUUAAGAGAUAACACAACCUUUUGGGUUAUACAUAAUAUGGCGGCUCUUGAUAUGGAUAAUAGUAAUGAGUUGUGGGGUAAGAAUAGAAGGUUGUGUAAGCCUUAGCCCAAUCAAUUUGCUCAAUUGUGGGUUGAGAUUCUUCUUUCUUUGCGACUUCUUUCUUUGCAGCUUCUUUCUCUUGUCCAACACUAAUAAUAUUAGCACAUGGCCAAACCUUUCUUACUUUUUUACAAAUCUUAAUUGGAUCUGCAGUUCCAAUCACUGUGAUUUUGUUUUCUUCUGCUGCCAUUGCUACAACACCUGGAAGUUCAGUUUUUCCCAGAACUCACAUCAAUAUAUAUACUGAUAAAAAAACAUUUGAAGCUUUUUUAAACAAGUUAAUAUGUUUAUUAUUUGUAUUCUCUUCACAUUCAUGACAUUUUGUUAAUUUAAUUUUUUUCCCCGCUUUAUUGGUUUUUUAAGAUAUAACAGAAUUGUUUAUUACGUCAGAAAAAUUUAGAUGAAGAGUUUUAUAUAAUAUAGUUUGUGGAAGUUACCUAAAAGGCCAGAAAUAGCACCCAACACCUUUUUCUUUGUCUUUAAAUCCCUCAUUUCAACGUUUAAUUCGACCUUCUGCAGAUUUAAAAAGAGAAACCCGUUAAUAAAAACUCAAAGAAACUGAGAAAAUUAAAGAAGAAAAUGAAGAAGUGGUUAAGAGGAAAAUAAUUAAUUAACUCUUACCAUCAUUUUUAACUUGGAAAUCAGUUGUGGGUUUUGAAAGAAUUAGAAUAUAGGAGCCGUAAAAAACAAGUACAAGAAAAAGAGAUGAAAUUUAAUGAAGAGAUUUGGAGUUUAUGUUAAUUAUUGAGAUCAGAAGGGAAGUUGGAAGAUGGAAAGAGAGGUAGGGGAGAGUGUUUAAUUUAUAGAGAAUGGAAAAGGAUGGAGUUCGCUAGGAAUAAUUAGAAUAGUGUAUAGAAGAAAACGCUUUGAACUUUACAUUACAAAGCAAAAGUAAGUACUGUUUUCUUUUUUACCAUUUUGGGUAGGAAUUAUGAACGUUCGUUCUUAUAAUACCAAAGCGUGUGAAAAAAGAGAUUCAAAGUCCCUUUUUAUAUCUCAAAUAAGUAAGUAAAAUUGUUUGAUGUUGGGAUGUAUGGCUUUAAUGAGUGGUUUAAAAUAGGCAAAUUUGUCUUCUUCUUCUAUUAGGGUUAUUUAACAUUUUUGGGAGUUUUUACGUUUUAAUUUGAAGUUUUGCUUUCUCUAUUUUAUUUAUGGAUCCAACCGCGUUCAUGCAUCUGCCUUUUCUCUCUUCAUAUCUUUUCUAAAAAAGUGUACUAAAGAUAUGUAUAUGACUUUGACUUCAUCUUUUCUAUUAAAUAAAAAAUAAAAAACCAAGACUACCCAUUUCUUACUCUUCGGUUUGGUCUUGUUAUUUUAUAAUCAUUCAUCAUACUCUUAAUAAAUCUUAAAUUUAAAAAUUAAACCCUUCUUAAUUAAUUAUAUUAAUCGAAUUGGUAUUUUAACGCAUUAAAAAUAUAUUAACGAAGAGGACAAUUUUUGACAGUAAGAAAAUUAAAUAAUAUAUGGUACUAAAUCUUUCCUCAACUAGAGAGUUAAUUGUUGUUGUUGUUACUGGAGGAGAGAGUUUUGUGUUUACUUUUCUCCCAACUUGUUUUUUAAGAACAUUUUCUUCUUCUCUCUUUGGAAUGUCCAUUAUUGUGUGGAAUGUUCUUAUGUUAUGAUCAAUAAUUGGAAUUUGGAUGAAUCGAGGAAGCUAGGGAGUGACUUUCAUUUUACUUGCGAAACCUUUCAAUCUUCUCUAUCUAACUAUUAUUACUACUAUUCCAGAGAGAAACAACUAGGUUGAAGUAAUAUAUUUGGAUGCACUUAUUUCUAUGUUGUUGAUCUCAAAUACAAACUAGAAAAAAUAUAUAUUCUUUUAAGAAAAAACAAAAGAAACAAGUGUUCGUCAUAUUAUUACAUUCUAGUUCGUCGUGUACAAAAAUAUUCAGAAGAAUGAAGAAAAAGAAAAAGGAAAUGGUUGAGUCUUGAACUCUCAGAUGAGAAGAGAGAAGAACCAAAACAAUGAGAGAAGAAAAACAACACUAUUUUCAUAAAUGGUUUUCAAACAACACUGUUUUGAUAAAUAUUCUCUGAAAGUGCUAUAUUAAUAUAAUUCCCUCGUUUGGGGUGUACUUUAGUCUAUUUGGAAUUAUAGGAACACUGUUAUUUGAAAUGUUCUAAUAAGAGAGAAUUAGAAUAGUAAAUAAUUGUUUUUACUAAAUAAAAUCUGAACAAAAAAUGAGUAUGACCAAUCAAAAUCGAUGUUGUGAAGAUUUCCCUUUGCAUCUUCUUUCAUAACGUAUCUUUAUCAGAAAAAAAAAAGGUUAGUUUGCUAGUGAUGAGGUAAAAUGAUCCACGUUGGACAUAAAAAUGCGGUUUAUAUUGACUUUUUAAGUGUUUAAAAACACUUUUUUACAUCUAGAAACACCGAUUUAAACACCAAACACACUCAAACGCAAGUAGUUGACAUUAUUCUUUAAAUUUUGUUAUUUCUGUUUAUUUGGUUUGUGAACAGUAGCACUUUUGGAUCCAUUUAAAAAAGAUUUAGUUUUAGUUUUGACCUAAACAACCUAUGAUUUGUUUUGAUCAACCCAACACGAAAAAGUAGAUUUAACAGGUUAAAAUAAGAAAAAGUUAGGCUAAAAAUAUGUUUAAGGUAAGUAGACAAAUACAUUUUAUGUCAAGUCUUUUAGCCUGAAAAGUAACAACUCUUAUUUUAUUGACCUGGUCUCUUGUAGUUAUAUUUUUAGGACAUUUGUUAGUUCAUCCUCAUUGACCAAAACUUAAUAAGAAUUAAAGUUGAAGUUAGAUAAAUAAAACCUAGAAGUUAAAAUUUCGAAGUGAAAUUACCUCAGGAGUACUUUCAAGAAGAACCCCUUUUAAUUUACUUGUAACCCACACGAGAGUAACCUUUGUCAUCAACCUUGGCAUCGUUUACGAAGAAAAGAAAGAAGAAUAGAUUUAAAUUUCUUUAUAUAUAUAAUUUCACCCGGUUCCUUUUUCCAUAAUGUGUGUGGUCAGUUUCGUUGUUUGUCUACAUAACUUUAAUGAUUUAAAUUGAUUGUUGUGGAUAACAUGUAAUAUCAUUAUAUAAACAUAAUAAAUUGAGGAUCCAAUGCCUCUUUUAUCUAAUGCUUUUAGAGAGUUAUUGAUCAUUAAUGUUAUAUUAUUCUAAUCUGCACACACUGUUAUUGUAUAAUACUUUGAUAUUUGAUCAACUAUAUAUAUAUUAGCAUAUAACAACCCCUUGAUUAACCUAACUACCUAUAUAUAUAUUAUUAAUUAUUCAUUUAGUGGUUGUUUUAGUGAUAUUUUACUCAAAUUAACAACUUGAAUGUAAUAAUAUAGAGUAGAAUAAGCCUUACGUUUUCCCACACAACCAACACAUAUUUUAUUCAAAACUUUCAAAAAAGUGAUUUAUUUUCAUCACAUAUAUAUUAAUAAUCCAUGUAUCCUCUGUUAAUAUUCAUUAACUUAAACAAAAAGCUUACUAUAUACUUAGCUUCCACAUUGGCCACACCCCACGUACUUCAAAAAAAAAGAAAGAAUUAUAGCAUUCACCUCUCUAGCUAAUAUAUAUAGAAAAAUCUUCGGAGAUCAGGUCACUACAAUGUGAAUAUAACAGAUUUACACCAUUAGAUCACGUUGGAUUCAGAUGGAUAUGUGUGUCUUCUAAUAACCACUACUUAUAUCCUAUAGAACAUCAAAGUACGGAUACUCUCUCGCCACAUUAUUCAAAUUAUCAGUAUAUGUCUCAACCUCUAGAGUAACUGAUUUAAGAGAGAACACAACCUUUUGGGUUAUACAUAAUAUGGUUCUUGAUAUGGAUAAUAGUAAUGAGUUGUGGGGUAAGAAUAGAAGGUUGUGUAAGCCUUAUCCCAGUCAAUUUGCUCAAUUUUGGGUUGAGAUUCUUCUUUCUUUGCAUCUUCUUUCUCUUGUCCAACACUAAUAAUAUUAGCACAUGGCCAAACCUUUCUUACUUUUUUAACAAUCUUAAUUG
rnacentral:lncRNA from 1 species